rnacentral:SRP_RNA from 14 species
AAGGAAGCAGCCCACAGUUUUGUUUAGUGUGUGUUUUGUUGUU